AUUGAACGCUGGCGGCAGGCUUAACACAUGCAAGUCGAGCGCGCGGCGGACGGGUGAGUAAUAUCUGGGAAACUGCCAGAUGGAGGGGGAUAACUACUGGAAACGGUCGCUAAUACCGCAUACCAUCAGAUGUGCCCAUAUGGGAUUAGCUAGUAUGUGGGGUAAUGGCUCACCUCGGCGACGAUCCCUAGCUGGUGUGAGAGGAUGACCAGCCACACUGGAACUGAGACACGGCCCAGACUCCUACGGGAGGCAGCAGUGGGGAAUAUUGCACAAUGGGCGCAAGCCUGAUGCAGCCAUGCCGCGUGUGUGAAGAAGGCCUUAGGGUUGUAAAGUACUUUCAGCGGGGAGGCGUUACUCGCAGAAGAAGCACCGGCUAACUCCGUGCCAGCAGCCGCGGUAAUAC
rnacentral:rRNA from 1 species